GAUGAACGCUAGCUACAGGCUUAACACAUGCAAGUCGAGGGGUCUUUUGGAGCUUGCUUUGAAAGACGACCGGCGCACGGGUGGGUAACGCGUAUCCAACCUGCCCUUCAUAUUGGGAUAGCCUUCCGAAAGGAAGAUUAAUACCGAAUAACAUGAUAGAGUUGCCCGCUUUGAUCAUGAAAGUUCCGGCGAUGAAGGAUGGGGAUGCGUUCCAUUAGGUAGUAGGCGGGGUAACGGCCCACCUAGCCGACGAUGGAUAGGGGUUCUGAGAGGAAGGUCCCCCACACUGGAACUGAGACACGGUCCAGACUCCUACGGGAGGCAGCAGUGAGGAAUAUUGGUCAAUGGGCGCAAGCCUGAACCAGCCAAGUAGCGUGAAGGAUGACUGCCCUAUGGGUUGUAAACUUCUUUUAUACGGGAACAAACCCCGGUACGUGUACCGGAUUGCGUGUACCGUAUGAAUAAGCAUCGGCUAACUUCGUGCCAGCCGCCGCUGUAAGAC
rnacentral:rRNA from 1 species